rnacentral:ribozyme from 1 species
AUGAUGGCAGCGAUCAUAAAUACAGAAAAAUUCUCCCCUAGAAGGUUAUCAAAGUCAGACAUAUCAACUUUGCUCAUUAAUGAUAACGCACACUUCUCCCUAUUAUUUUCUUCUUCUUUUUUCUUUCUAUUAUAUUAUUAUCAUGGAGGAGGAGGGGCGUAUGAUUUUCUUGAAGAGUAAAGAAU